AGGACGAACGCUGGCGGCGUGCCUAACACAUGCAAGUCGAGCGAAGCGGGUAGGUUAGCUUGCUAAUUUAUCUGACUGAGCGGCGAACGGGUGAGUAACACGUGGGUGAUCUACCUGGAAGUCUGGGAUAACAGUUGGAAACGGCUGCUAAUACCGGAUGACAUCUAUUAAUCGGAUAAUAGAUCAAAGAUUUUAUUGCUUUCAGAUGAGCCCGCGUUCCAUUAGUUAGUUGGUGGGGUAAUGGCCUACCAAGGCGACGAUGGGUAGCCGGUCUGAGAGGAUGGUCGGCCACACUGGGACUGAGACACGGCCCAGACUCCUACGGGAGGCAGCAGUGGGGAAUUUUGCGCAAUGGGGGCAACCCUGACGCAGCGACGCCGCGUGAGUGAAGAAGGCCUUCGGGUUGUAAAACUCUGUCUAGGGGGAAGAUAGUGACGGUACCCCUGGAGGAAGCCCCGGCUAACUACGUGCCAGCAGCCGCGGU
rnacentral:rRNA from 1 species